AUUGAACGCUGGCGGCAGGCUUAACACAUGCAAGUCGAGCGGGGUGAUGGUGCUUGCACUAUCACUUAGCGGCGGACGGGUGAGUAAUGCUUAGGAAUCUGCCUAUUAGUGGGGGACAACAUCUCGAAAGGGAUGCUAAUACCGCAUACGUCCUACGGGAGAAAGCAGGGGAUCACUUGUGACCUUGCGCUAAUAGAUGAGCCUAAGUCGGAUUAGCUAGUUGGUGGGGUAAAGGCCUACCAAGGCGACGAUCUGUAGCGGGUCUGAGAGGAUGAUCCGCCACACUGGUACUGAGACACGGCCCCGACUCCUACGGGAGGCAGCAGUGGGGAAUAUUGGACAAUGGGGGGAACCCUGAUCCAGCCAUGCCGCGUGUGUGAAGAAGGCCUUAUGGUUGUAAAGCACUUUAAGCGAGGAGGAGGCUCUUUUGGUUAAUACCCAAGAUGAGUGGACGUUACUCGCAGAAUAAGCACCGGCUAACUCUGUGCCAGCCGCCGCAGUAA
rnacentral:rRNA from 1 species